AUUGAACGCUGGCGGCAGGCCUAACACAUGCAAGUCGAACGAGUGGCGGACGGGUGAGUAAUGUCUGGGAAACUGCCUGAUGGAGGGGGAUAACUACUGGAAACGGUAGCUAAUACCGCAUACCAUCAGAUGUGCCCAGAUGGGAUUAGCUAGUUGGUGGGGUAACGGCUCACCAAGGCGCCGAUCCCUAGCUGGUCUGAGAGGAUGACCAGCCCAAACGGAACUGAGACACGGUCCAGAACUCUACGGGAGGCAGUAGGGGGGAAUAUUGGACAAUGGGCGCAAGCCUGAUGCAGCCAUGCCGAGGGGAUGAAGAAGGCCUUCGGGGUGGAAAGUACUUUCAGCGGGGAGGCGUUACCCGCAGAAGAAGCACCGGCUAACUCCGUGCCAGCAGCCGCGGUAAUAC
rnacentral:rRNA from 1 species